rnacentral:lncRNA from 1 species
UCGAUCUCGGAAUACCACCUAAAUAACUACGGCCAGAGAGUCAAAUAGGUCGGGAAGAAAGAGUCUGAGGUCGGGUCGGACGACAUACAUCUUGGUUGGUUCCACCACCACUAGAGAUUGGACAUAUAUAUAAUCUUUCUUCUAAAAAAGCUUUAUCAUCAACCUUCGAUCUCGGAAUACCACCUAAAUAACUACGGCCAGAGAGUCAAAUAGGUCGGGAAGA